rnacentral:rRNA from 1 species
UACGGAGGGUGCAAGCGUUAUCCGGAUUCACUGGGCUUAAAGGGCGCGUAGGCGGCGUGGUAAGUCAGUUGUGAAAUCUCCGAGCUUAACUCGGAACGGCCAACUGAUACUGCUGUGCUAGAGUGCAGAAGGGGCAAUCAGAAUUCUUGGUGUAGCGGUGAAAUGCGUAGAUAUCAAGAGGAAUACCUGAGGUGAAGACGGGUUGCUAGGCUGACACUGACGCUCAGGCGCGAAAGCCAGGGGAGCAAACGGG